GAUGAACGCUAGCUACAGGCUUAACACAUGCAAGUCGCGGGGCAGCAUGGGGGUUGCUUGCAAUCCCCGAUGGCGACCGGCGCACGGGUGAGUAACGCGUAUCCAACCUGCCCUUCACCACGGGAUAACCCGGCGAAAGUCGGACUAAUACCGUAUGUUGUCCAUUGACGGCAUCCGAUUUGGACGAAAGGUUUGGCGGUGAAGGAUGGGGAUGCGUCCGAUUAGCUGGACGGCGGGGUGACGGCCCACCGUGGCGACGAUCGGUAGGGGUUCUGAGAGGAAGGUCCCCCACACUGGAACUGAGACACGGUCCAGACUCCUACGGGAGGCAGCAGUGAGGAAUAUUGGUCAAUGGGCGUAAGCCUGAACCAGCCAAGUAGCGUGCAGGAUGACGGCCUUAUGGGUUGUAAACUGCUUUUAUGCGGGGAUAAAGUGGCCCACGUGUGGGUUUUUGCAGGUACCGCAUGAAUAAGGACCGGCUAAUUCCGUG
rnacentral:rRNA from 1 species